CAACUCUGCAUGCAACCAUUCAAUACAUUAAAAUAAAUUUAUUGUUACAUGCAGAUUCUUACUUUAAUCUAGCCUGAUCUAGAUUAAAGAACCUAGUUUAUUUUUCCUCCUCUAACAAUAAUUUUUACUCAGUCAGCUCUGUAGCUACAAAAAGUUACUGAGGUGUCAGAGCCAAUGGUGUUACCAUAGUGCUUAACACACACACACACAACAGCACAGAAUAACUUCCGACAUGCUCAUAGCCUGCUUGACAUUCAGCUUUUGCAUUCCACGGGGAAGUAACUAGCAGAGCUGCCGAUUAUUCCUUCCUGCCAACCCUGACCACUUCUUACCCAGGAGAUAUCAUUGCUUUCGGAUGAAAACUAGAGAGUCAUAGCGUUCAAAAUAGUGUGCCGAAUUGUGAGGAUUCCACCUUUCUUCUUGACCUUAUGGACUUCCAAAUUCUGCCUAAAAUGGGGAGGCUGAGUCACAAUACCACAAGACAGGAAAUCACGGUGUCAAAAAGGAGAGGAAGAACUGAGCCAUUUCCGAAGGUGGAUUAGAUGUGAGGUGAGAACAUCAGUGUUUUGUCAGUCGUGCUGAGCUCUGCCACCAUUUUGUGACUCCUUGUGACUAAGGCAGGCCCCACCCAACGGGCCCUGGGAGUAGGAAGCCUGAGAAGCAGCCCCUGCUGCCAUGCACCACAAAGAGUUUGUGCCUUACAAGGUGUGGCGAAGCUCACUGCCGAUUUAAGCUCGUCUCUCCCGGCUCCUGGCAGGCCGCAAGGAAGCAGGCAGGCAGCUGAAAGCUUUCCUUCCAGAAAGUUCUCUUUGUCUUGAGAGGCUCAGAAUUAACUGCCUCUCAUUAAAAACAAACCCUCUCUGGGAGAUUCCAACGCGGCUACUGAUAUUGCCAGAGUGAUGUUGCUACAGUUGAUCGGAGGACUGACUUUUGACUUGUAAACGGACACCAACACAUUUAAAGCACUCUUAUACUGCUUUAACAGCAAAAUCUCCCCAAUAAUCCUGGGAACUGUCAUUUGCAAAGGGUGCUGGGAAUUGUAGCUCUGUGAGGAGGGUCUUCUAACAACUCCCAGCACCCUUAUGAGAUGACAACUCCCAGCAUAUGAGAUGACCUUCAACAAGCACAAGUGGAAGAUUUUAAGAUAUGUGGAUACCAUAUACAGAUCUGUUUGUUACUGGACCAACAGCUACACCCCCCCCUCCUGCAUAAAACUAUUGCUUUGUUUCAUUGUGGUUUAGUAUGACUUACUUGACUAUAUUUCUUUUUGUUGUUGUCUUUUCUUAAAGUUCAAUUUUUAAAAAACCCUAUAA